UACGUAGGGCGCAAGCGUUAUCCGGAAUUAUUGGGCGUAAAGAGCUCGUAGGCGGUUUGUCGCGUCUGCCGUGAAAGUCCGGGGCUCAACUCCGGAUCUGCGGUGGGUACGGGCAGACUAGAGUGAUGUAGGGGGAGACUGGAAUUCCUGGUGUAGCGGUGAAAUGCGCAGAUAUCAGGAGGAACACCGAUGGCGAAGGCAGGUCUCUGGGCCGAUACUGACGCUGAGGAGCGAAAGCGUGGGGAGCGAACAGG
rnacentral:rRNA from 1 species